UUACUGCACCGCGCAUGAGAUCGAUGCCAACGUUGAAAGCUACGCGUCAUUCACGCCACCUGGGAUGUAUUGGGCCACAACAACCACGAGGCUGACCCGUCCACAUUGAUCAUGGACUGUACCUCGACCGGCCGAGCCACACCUCAGCCCUAUAGCCACACGCUACAUCAGGAGAGCAAACGGGCAGGGCACGAACGGCCCAAGCAGAGCCCUAGCAUUAUCUAUACUUCUAUACUACUAUCUAUACUACUAUUAAACAAGAGAACACAUUCUUUUCUGUAACCACCCCGUUUAGUGUACACGGUUAAUUAUCACCGUCUGAUUAUCUAGAUUAAUCAAAUCUAACAGACCAGAUUAAUCUAAUGAGAUCUCAUUGGUGUACUUAGCGAUUACAAUAGGCGGACGAAAACUCUGCCGCACGACGCCUCCCACCAUCGCAUCCCAUCCCCACAAUCCCCGGCACCCGCACUGCAACUAUUCCCUGCCCGGUUCUUCCCCAGGCGACAGCCCGCCGAUGCCUCUCAUCCCCGCACUCGUCGGCAACCCCUGCCCCACAAGGUCCUCGGCGCCCCAUAGCCACCUCGCUCGCACCUCCCUGCCCUAUCUCUGGCCCCGCAACUGAUCCUCUGCUGCCCCACGUAGGCCGCGGCCCCCGCCGAUCCUCUUCUGCCGGACACGAGAGCAGGCCGCAGCCCCAGCCGUUCCUCCUCUGCUACUUCAGGUACGCCAGCGCCGAACAGACAGCACGGCCGCCGCUGCCGCCCGCCGCUCCUCAUCGUCUGCACCCAUGAAGUUGCUGCAAUUAAGGUGUCACUCCAGUAGGAGGGGCGCUAAGGAAGGCGCAUCAGGCACGUUGUUGCGGCGGCCGUGAAGGCCGGAGAAGAGGUGGAUGGGUUUCUCACAGUUUCUGUGGCUCGCGGUGUUCAUCCGACUCUCUAGAAUAACUAGAAAAUGAGUUCCCACAAUUCCUACAUCAAAGGUUGUAUCUUUCAGCACUUUGUUAUUGGGCGUGCCUACUUACUAAUUCUAUUUGAUAAGUCAACCUGGGAAACUGCGGAAUGGUGCUGAAUGAAGUUGUUAAUAUGAUUUCUUUUGUGUUUGCUACUGAUAUAUCUCUAAACUUGCAUUUCUCUGCUAUGUUUGUCUGUCAGAGCUGUUGCUCGAUAAGGCUGACGUGCACCAAUGUAAACUUCAGAUUGAGCUUACAACACGGUGAGGGUUUACCUUGAUUCUGCAUGAUGCCGGACUACCAACAUUUCAGAUUUCACUGCAAGCACAUAUUUUUCUCUGAACUUUGGAGCUGAAUCAAGAGUAACCACUGAGUAUUUCAGUUAUUUUCCGGCGAGUCAUACUACCUCAAUUAAACUGCCCCAGCAUCAUAUAUUUAGGAAUGGAGGUAGUACAUCAGACUUAAUGCAGAUCGACCAGCUGAAAGUUUAUUUUUAUGAUAUGUUUAUUACUUGGUGAUUCCAGCUGAUGUACAACAAAAAUUGUGUGAUCCAGCAUGAUGUUCUUCCUGUUCUACAGGUUCAUUCUAAUGCAUUAUGUUUGGCUGCCCCGUUCACAGAUAUACAGGUUGAAUUCUUCGUUCU